AAAGUGAAUAAGGUUGGCUUGGUGCUUAGUGGUGAUCUGACUGUAGGGAAAGAGGGAAGAUGAACUGGAGAAAAAGGCCGGUCCACAGCCGCAGGAGAACGAGAACGCUGGAUUGUAUAAUGCUGGCGGGCAGGAAGACGGUUAUCAGAGAUUACGACAGUUGAUGACCUGCCCAGGCUAAGGCCGCUCUGGGGAGAGAUCUUGGCGUCCUCUGGAAAGUCUCUGUCGCGAGAGACGGUUGAUGGUCCGCGCCGGUUUGUGGCCCAUCGGGUGAAGAGAUCUCGUGGUUCUCGGGCAGCUUCCCAGAAGGACAACGGCGCAGUUUCCAUGACCAACCUCCGGAGGCAGGGCGGAGGAGCCAAGAGCGGCCUCCUCUGGAAUCCGGCAAAGAAAAUGGGUCGGGCUAGAUCGUG